rnacentral:rRNA from 1 species
AAAACUCCGGUGGUGUGAGAUGGAUCCGCGUCUGAUUAGCCAGUUGGCGGGGUAACGGCCCACCAAAGCGACGAUCAGUAGCCGGCCUGAGAGGGUGACCGGCCACAUUGGGACUGAGACACGGCCCAAACUCCUACGGGAGGCAGCAGUGGGGAAUAUUGCACAAUGGGCGAAAGCCUGAUGCAGCGACGCCGCGUGAGUGAAGAAGUAUUUCGGUAUGUAAAGCUCUAUCAGCAGGGAAGAAAAUGACGGUACCUGACUAAGAAGCCCCGGCUAACUACGUGCCAGCAGCCGCGGUAAUACGUAGGGGGCAAGCGUUAUCCGGAUUUACUGGGUGUAAAGGGAGCGUAGACGGCGAAGCAAGUCUGAAGUGAAAACCCAGGGCUCAACCCUGGGACUGCUUUGGAAACUGUUUUGCUAGAGUGUCGGAGAGGUAAGUGGAAUUCCUAGUGUAGCGGUGAAAUGCGUAGAUAUUAGGAGGAACACCAGUGGCGAAGGCGGCUUACUGGACGAUAACUGACGUUGAGGCUCGAAAGCGUGGGGAGCAAACAGGAUUAGAUACCCUGGUAGUC